GAGUUUGAUCGUGGCUCAGAUUGAACGCUGGCGGCAUGCCUUACACAUGCAAGUCGAACGGCAGCAUGAUCUAGCUUGCUAGACUGAUGGCGAGUGGCGAACGGGUGAGUAAUACAUCGGAACGUGCCCUGUAGUGGGGGAUAACUAGUCGAAAGAUUAGCUAAUACCGCAUACGACCUGAGGGUGAAAGUGGGGGACCGCAAGGCCUCAUGCUAUAGGAGCGGCCGAUGUCUGAUUAGCUAGUUGGUGGGGUAAAGGCCCACCAAGGCGACGAUCAGUAGCUGGUCUGAGAGGACGAUCAGCCACACUGGGACUGAGACACGGCCCAGACUCCUACGGGAGGCAGCAGUGGGGAAUUUUGGACAAUGGGCGAAAGCCUGAUCCAGCAAUGCCGCGUGUGUGAAGAAGGCCU
rnacentral:rRNA from 1 species